GUGCCUGCACCGAUUCGCCUCACGGCAGCCGAGAACAGACCGAACUGCAAACGCUCCGCGAGGCACCGUUACGCUCGCGAGACGCGGGAACGAGAGCAGGCGCCCCGGGAGAGCCGAGACAGCGCGAGCUUAAGGCCAGUUUCAGGAGCAGCUUCUCUGGGAUUCCUGGUGAAAACUUAAAAGAGGAGCCUUAGUGGGAUGAAUUACAGCCCCAGCUGCAGCAGCUCUCUGGGGAACACACUUGGCAUAGAAAAGAACUUAUUCACCAAAGCAAUGUCCACAUAAAGUGUACCUGAGGCUGUGUUCUUUUGCUCUAGCUAAGAUGCCCAAGCUGGUGUGGUGGCUGCAGGAGGACUACUCCUCGGGAGUCAGAGCCAAGUUUGAAAUGACUGCAGAAGGCCUCUGUGAAUAGUUUGAAUGAACAGACUGUUUCCUAAGAAGCCGAGAAAACAAAUCAGUACAAGCUGAAGUGGAAUCUGCUAUGAUCGUUACAGCUAAUGGUGGCAAAAACACGUGUGAAGCAGAACAAGGCUUAGACAAAUUUAAAAACUUAUGAAAAUAUAAGGUGUAUAAAGCCUGUAGUUAUUCACUGUAUUAUUUGUCAGCAGAUAUUUCAUUGCAAAUAUUUUAAAUCUAUCAUUUGUCACUGUCUCCAUGUCAAUGGUGAAAUUCACUCACUCUCAUGGACUCUUAUCAGUUCUGUGAUUGUUUAUUCUUUUUUUUAUUUUUUAAGUUAUGUAAGUGUGAUAACACAAUUAUAGGAGACUUGGAAAAUACAGAACAAAGUUGCAUCUAGUUCCACUAUAUAUUA